rnacentral:lncRNA from 1 species
UAAGACCUAGCUUUUGAAGGAUCUGAUUAUAGAAAUCUUCUUUAAAAAGAAAAGAAAGAGAAACUAACUUUUUUUUUCUUUUUGGGUAUAAUGAUAAAUAAACAUUGUAAAUACUCCGAUUUCCACGUCUAGAUACUUCAACUUGUGUCAACUGUGCCAAUUGAACACUUCCAUCUUACAGAUUAAUGUUCUACAUUAGCGUCAUGUGUUCAUGAGAUAUAGUGGAAACGAGCUAGAGUGUUUAGUUUUCAACUGAGACCAAGUUGAGGUAUCUUGCCUUGUUAAACAAACAUUCUUACAAUAACUCGUAUGCAAACUGAGUUUUUCGGAGCUCCAUCAUGUUAGUUUAUUGAAAGUUUUUAACAAAUUGGGUUUCCGAUUUUGGUGGUCUGAGGUUAAUCAUUUGUUGGAACAUCUGCUGGUUGUUACUGUAAUGCUAUAAUGAUAGAAAACCAUUGCAGAAGAUGGAAAAACAAGGAUCAUUUGAGGGGUAAUGGUGAUGAUGUUUGUAGCUUGUGAAUGUUUACUUUUUAACUUAUCUUGGAGCUAGAACUAGCAAAUUUCAUAUGUUUAAGUUCUAGGUAAGUGGUGAUAAGUCUUCAUGGGAAGUGGAUUGUAUAAAUGAUACUAAUACUUUAUAAAGGAAGUAUUGGUUGGAAACUCCAGCGAAUGCCACCUCCUAUUGGAAAAUAAUUAGAGUUUCUAACUUAUAGCUUCUUAUAUAGUGUAUAAAGUCUUGAAAAUUGAUGCAGGAGUUCCAAUUUAACUUAUAGCUUCUUAUAUAGUGUAUUGUCACGGGCCUAUUUUAAGAUACAUGCGGACAGCUUAACACACUCUAAAGUGAUGCUAAACUUCAGUCCUCAACCCCUCUAAAACAGUCCCCAAGAAUCAAUGAACAUUCACACAAACCAGCAAGGAAAGGAACUAAAGAAAGACAAUAUUUUUGGAGGCCAAAGAGCCAACGUUUUUGUGUUAUAUUUCUG